UCUCCGUAGGUGAACCUGCGGAGGGAUCAUUACGGUUUGGAACGCCUGGGGUGAAAAGACGCGCCGCGGGACCCUUCGGGGUGCCGGGGCGUGGCCCCAGGUCCUCCACUCUCACCCUUUGUGUUAUCGACCCUGUUGCUUCGGGGGCCACCCCGCUCGUCGGGGGCCCCCGGUGGCACACCAACCAAAACUCGUGUAUCAUCGCGUCCGAGUCGUAUACCAAUUAUACAAAACUUUCAACAACGGAUCUCUUGGUUCUGGCAUCGAUGAAGAACGCAGC
rnacentral:misc_RNA from 1 species